AUGAGACAGAUAUAUGCUUCUCUGCUUUCCACAAAGCAGGCUUUCCAAUUCACAGCUGAAUGCUUGUAUGUGAUUUGGGUCAGAAGAAAUUUCUCCAUGGGCUGCAAGUUCUGUGGGAGUUUUUUCUCCUGGAAACACCAUGCUUCUCAUUACAGGUAUGCUCCCUGGAUGAACAUUGUGCAGCAAUGCUCGGUCCAUCUCAGCACUACCCAGUUUGAAGCUUCAGCCUUGAGGGUGGCAGUGGUGAAUCUGACAGGGCUCUGCCAUCGAUACCCUGAAAAGUCAUCAGAUGGUGGUGCCUUCUUUGACGUGAUGGCUUCAAUGAACAGUCAGAGUUUUUAUUCACAGAUGAUGUGGGGAGCCUGAGGAACUAAGCCCAGCUGAGCGCUACAUGAGACAGUGAUAUGUCUGAGAGUGGAUCUGCAAGCAAUCUAACUGAAGAUGGAGAUACUGAAGAGUGAGGAGUACUGCUUUAUCACUGCUGACAUAAAGAUUCAUUAUUUUUUGCCAAUUCAGAAAGCGAAUCUUAUGGAAAUGAAGACUUUUUGUGUGCGUAUGUGCCUGUUUUGCAUAUCUCAUUACUUGAAUUAUUUCUCGGUUUAGGCAAAUGAUUGCUGCCUUUAACUAGAUGAUUAAACACUCCAACAUCUCACAAAGGGAAGAAAAAACAGCCAAGUACUACGAGCACUGAGUAGAUUUACCAUUUUCAAGUCUCUCUGCAAAAUGAGAGCAAAAGAAAAAGAGUGCAUUCAUUGCUAAUCAUAUUCUUUGAAGUAUGGUAGAGACCUGGCAAUUUUAUAUUGUGCAUGAAAGUCACAGUAUUAGACUAAGAUUAUUUUAAGAAACACUUUUAUCAUUUUCUAACUGACAGAAAGGGCAAGUCUGCCAGCCAUGCAGCUUGAUGUUUUCUCAUGAAACAGUAAAAGAACCCCACAAUGAUGUGAUUAACGACUUGCAUCCAUUUUCUCUGAUCCCCGAACUUGAAUGCAGAGAACAGAGCAGAUCUCUGUGCUAUUAUCUAGCCCUCUAUUCAGACCAGACUAAUGCCAGCAGAACUUCUCUUGCAACACUUGUUCCCCAACCCAAGGCAUUUGCAUAUCACAGAGAAUAAGGUUAUGUAACACAGUUGUUGAUUUUGGUGUUGUAAAGCGCUGUCAGGGUUGUUUUUGUCACAAACUGCAUGGUUUUAGAGUAGAUGUUAUGAAAGUGCAUGUUCUUGCUAGUAAUUUUACAGUAUAUGAAACUGCUUAAUUUUGUAAAUCCAUAAUUAGUAAGGGAAAUACUUGCAAUUUUUACAUAGGCAUGUACCUUUUCAGUAAGUGUUCUGUGGACAGUGAAACAAGACAAUUGUCGCAAAAGACAGCUCUUGCUUCUUUAAUUGAAAACACAAUUGCCCUUGCUUACAGCUCUGUUUCCUGGACUGUUUUGAGACUGUUGUAGGUCACUUUGAUACAAACUCUUGCAGAACAGUUGCAAAAGCCAUAAAUCACACAAUUAGGUGCCUUUUGCUUUUGGUUCGUUUCCUUAAGGUCCACCAGAGAAAGUGACCUGUUUUGAAUUGAGCCAAAAAACAGAGUACCUGAAAGCUGAAGGACGUUCAAAUCUGACAAGCAUUGCAUGAGGACUAUAAUGCUGAGGGCAGUUUACUUGCUUAGCACCUGACUUACCACUUUUGUCCGCUCACACAAAAAUGAUUGCCAAAAGGGAGAGAAAAAUACCUGCAGUUUUGAAGGAAAAUAAACAUGGAGGGGAAAAGUUUCUACUGAUUCCC
ensembl:lncRNA